CAUUAGAUGGCUGAAGGUAAAGCAAUGGUCUCUUAAACCAUUUUAUAGUAAACUACACUUACUUCUAAUGA
rnacentral:tRNA from 1 species